GGAAGAAUAUUUGUUGACUAAAAUUUUAACGGCAUUCGAAUGAAGAGGGAGCGAAAUGAAAUGCGACGUAUGUCUGUGAACUUUAUAAUGGAUACGUAUAGCUUUUUGAUGCCCGGUGGUAACCAGCCUUCCAUGUGGCUGAACAGAUGCCAGUGUACCCAAAUUCUGAGGCACAAUUGGAUUUCCAAUACGAGAUGAUGUGCAGUUCAUGUUAGAUUUGCUAUUUCUACAGUUACAGUGAAGUAGAAGAGUCCGGUCGUGUUAUGGGGCAGCAGUUAAAGAAGAAGGACGGAGAGAUGUGUGCCCUGUUGAAGUAGCAGCUGGCCCUCCUGCCUGGCACUUCUAGAAUCCUCCAUCUCAAUCUCUGCUCUAAUCUGCUGUGCCUUUGCCAAGUGAUCACGAGUUUAUUGCAAUGGUGCCCCACUGCGUCUUCACUGUCUGUUACAUCAACUCCAACUGCCUAUGAUAGAAGAAAAGUUCACAAGACGUCCUAAAAUGGAAUUGUGAUUGGAGUGAGAUGGCCACAAUUAUGUAUGCUGGGAUGUGCAGGCUUUGGCUUGGGACCCCCAGAGGUUUAUUAUCUCCAGCAACCUUGAAAGCUGCAAGUUUGUCUUUGUCCUUGGCUAUUUGACCAGGCAGUGUAUUUAUUAUAAAGGACAAGGACCCCUCCAUUUGCUUCUUAUCUACUUUUAUAAUACCUUCAAUUUUCUUUGUAACUGUAUAUUUUUGUAGAGCAAUUUGAGCUACACUUGUAAGCAAAGGUGAUUAUAGAAAUAUUAUUAGUGAACAAAUGUUAAGGGACAGAUCAGGAAAAAUGUCAGUUUAAAUAGAACACAUUUUUUAUGGAAUAUUGCUGGAUAAUAACUCUGACUCGGAGUAGUAUCUUGUUCAUAAAGCUAAAAUAGCAUUUUUCCUUUUUUGACAAAUUUAAUGAUUCACUUUUAUUGUGUUCAAAACCUUGGCUAACAUUUUUAUUUAAUAUCAAGGUAAAAAUCUGUAAAUAUGUCUGUGUUCCCUUUCUCUAAUAGUUUUUAACACCUCCCCAUUGUUGGCCAUUUUCAUUGUAUUUGUGUUCUAGUUAAAUGCAUUUACCAUUUAUACAUCUUUAUGAUUACUGAAUUUUCUACUUGUAUAUAUAUUUGUGU